rnacentral:rRNA from 1 species
UUGGAUCUCAAAUCAGACAAGAUGACCCGCUGAAUUUAAGCAUAUAAUUAAGCGGAGGAAAAGAAACUAACCAGGAUUCCCCUAGUAGCGGCGAGCGAAGCGGGAAAAGCCCAAUAUGAAAAGCCAGCUUGCUGGCGUUGUAGUUGAGCGGCCUGCAGGUGUCAGUCUGGGAAAGUGGCAUGGAAGUGUCCACCGAGGAGGGUGAAAGUCCCGUCCAUCCCAUUCAGGGCACUUGGUACUAGGCCGUUUCAGUCGAGUCGGGUAGUUUGGGAAUGCUGCUCUAAUCGGUGGUAAAUCUCAUCGAAGGCUAAAUACUGGUAGGAGACCGAUAGCGAACAAGUACCGUGAGGGAAAGAUGAAAAGCACUUUGAAAAGAGGGUGAUAAGAACCUGAAACCGUUACGAGGGAAGCGGAUUGCAUCGAGUUGAUGGGUGUCUGUGUUUUCAGCCAGAAAUAUAAUUUUUGUGGUGUAUUGAUGCAGAUACUUACCCGUCGUGAGUUUUUUGGUAGUCGAUUUUGGGCUGCUAAAGACUGUGGGAUCCCCUUUAUUGGGUGAGGACGAUGGGGCAGCGGUGCGAUACGACCCGUCUUGAAACACGGACCAAGGAGUCUAGCGCUGCUGCGAGUCGACGGGACUUGAAUCCUAGAGGCGCAGUGAAAGCGAGUUUUUACAAAAUUCUGCAAUUUGAGGGGGCAUGAAAUCGUUGAUUUCAAGUCUCACCUAGAGCAGUAGCGCUAGGACCCGAAAGAUGGUGAACUAUGCCUGAGUAGGGCGAAGCCAGAAGAAAUUCUGGUGGAGGCUCGUAGCGGUGCUGACGUGCAAAUCGCUCGUCGAACUUGGGUAUAGGGGCGAAAGACUAAUCGAACCAUCUAGUAGCUGGUUCCCCCCGAAGUUUCUCUCAGGAUAGCGGGCUGACAUGACGUUGUUUUGUGCGGUAAAGCGAAUGAUUAGUGCAUUUGGGGGCGUUCAGCUUCGGGCAAUUCUCAAACUUUAAAUGCGCAAGUGGCGCCGCUGCUUAAUUGAGCGGUUGCUGGAAAAAACGUCAGCCCCGUGGGCCACUUUUGGUAAGCAGAACUGGCGAUGCGGGAUGAACCGAAAGCGUAGUUAAGGCGUCAAAUUACCCGCUUAUAGACCCCACAAAAGGUGUUGGUUCAUCGAGACAGCAGGACGGUGGCCAUGGAAGUCGGAAUCCGCUAAGGAGUGUGUAACAACUCACCUGCCGAAUGAAGUAGCCCUGAAAAUGGAUGACGCUUAAGCGGGUAGCCGAUACUACGCCGUCUAAAAAACUGAUUUUUUUAGAUGAGUAGGGGGGCGUGGUGAUCGUAUCGAAGCACUGCGUGCAAACGCGUGUGGAACGGUCACUAGUGCAGAUCUUGGUGGUAGUAGCAAAUAUUCAAGUGAGAACCUUGAAGGGCGAAGCGGGGAAGGGUUCCAUGCAAACAUUGAUUGGGCAUGGGUGAGUCGUACCUAAGCCGAGUGGCAAUUGCUUACUCACGCGGCGAAAGGGAAGCGGGUUGAAAUUCCCGCACACGGAUGUGGAAGCGGCGACGCAUUACUGGGGCGGUGACGUUGGCAGUGGCGCUGGGCAGAGUUGUCUUUUCUGUUUAACCGCCUGACGCUUGCACUGUGGAAUCCGCUUGUCGGGAGAAACAGGCAAGGCACGGGUAGAGCGCCGGGCUUUUUCCGGCGUCCAGCUCGCCACUGACGGCCCUUGAAAAACUGUCCUCAGAUAUUAAACUCCACGCCGUGGCGUACCGAUAACCGCAUCAGGUCCCCAAGGUGAACAGCCUCUGCUCGAUAUGAAAAAUGCAGGUAAGGGAAGUCGGCAAAUUAGACCCGUAACUUUGGGAAAAGGGUUGGCUCUAGUGCUGCGUGAGGACUGGUUGUUGUCUGCUGGUGUAGUCUGGUGGCUGUCGGCUGAGCGCUGGGUCGCAAGACCUGUGCUUGCUGAUGCUACUGUCUAUGCCACGGGCAACGACGCUCACAGCAUGCAGCGAACUAGAACUGCAACGGGCAAAGGGAAUCCGACUGUUUAAUUAAAACAAAGCAUUGCGAGGGCCGGGGACGGUGAUUACGCAAUGUGAUUUCUGCUCAGUGCUCUGAAUGUCAAAGUGAAGAGAUUCAAUCAAGCGCGGGUAAACAGCGGGAGUAACUAUGACUCUCUUAAGGUAGCCAAAUGCCUCGUCAUCUAAUUAGUGACGCGCAUGAAUGGAUUAACGAGAUUCCUACUGUCCCUAUCUGCUUCUAGCGAAACCACAGCCGGGGGAACGGGCCCGGCGAAAUCGGCGGGGAAAGAAGACCCUGUUGAGCUUGACUCUAUUCUAAUUUUGUGGAGCAAGUUGGGAGGUGUAGCAUAGGUGGGAGACCUCGGUCGUCAGUGAAAUACCACUACUCCCAAUCUUGCUUUACUUACUAGGCUGGUGUGGGUGGAUUGUUAUUUUUGGCAAUCUUUUUUUUGAGCCAAGCCAUGUCAGAAUCCUCGGAUACUGAGUAGGUGACCACAGCCUAGGACAGAUUUAGGAGGGGAGUUUGGCUGGGGCGGUACAUCUUCUACAAGACAACGAAGGUGUCCAAAGAUCAGCUCAGUGAGAACAGAAAUCUCACGUAGCGCAAAAGGGUAAAAGCUGGUUUGAUUUCGAUUUUCAGUGCGAGUCGAAAACGCGAAAGCGUGGCCUAUCGAUCCUUUCACGAUUCGAGAUUUGAAGCGAGAGGUGUCAGAAAAGUUACCACAGGGAUAACUGGCUUGUGGCGGCCAAGCGUUCAUAGCGACGUCGCUUUUUGAUCCUUCGAUGUCGGCUCUUCCUAUCAUUGCGUAGCAGAAUGCGCAAAGUGUCGGAUUGUUCACCCGCCAACAGGGAACGUGAGCUGGGUUUAGACCGUCGUGAGACAGGUUAGUUUUAUCCUACCGAUGAAAAGUUAUCGCGGCAGUAAUUUAAGGCAGUACGAGAGGAACGCUUAAUUCAGACCUCUGGCACAUGCAGCUGCGGGAGCCCGCAGUGCUGCGACGCUACCGUCUGAACGAUUAGAAAGG